rnacentral:lncRNA from 1 species
GUUAUAGUUUCAGAUAUAUAUCAUAUUGGUAUUCACUAAUCUGGGAAGGGAAGGGCUACUGCAGCUUUACAUGCAAUUUAUUAAAAUGAUUGUAAAAUAGCUUGUAUAGUGUAAAAUAAGAAUGAUUUUUAGAUGAGAUUGUUUUAUCAUGACAUGUUAUAUAUUUUUUGUAGGGGUCAAAGAAAUGUUGAUGGAUAACCUAUAUGAUUUAUAACGUGUGCAAGCAUUCAUACAGGCAGCAAUGGUCUCAGAAACCAAACAGGUUUGCUCUAGAGGAAGAGAGAAUUGGAGACUGGCCCUGUGCACCAUGAAGGUUACUGAGGCUCUCUCCCAUUCAGAUUGGAGAGGAAGUAAUCCUCUGCCUCCCAGAAUGACCACCCUCUUCAUUCCAACAGUGCGUCUGUCUGCACAGGUUUAGUUUACUAAAUCUCCCCUUGCGCUAAAGUGUGUUAACAGGACAGAAAGGUGGUGCUUACACACUUACAGGCACCAUCACAUUCAGCCUCCCCAACAGUUUAACAGUUUGGCAAUAAUAUGCAUAGAGGUACCAGCAAUAUGUAAAUAGUGCAGAAUCUCAUAGGCUGCCAAUAAUACACUAAUUCCUUUCUAUACUAUAAGAGUUCAUUUCCUAAUAAAAUGAGGACAUGUUUAUGUUUUCUUUGAAUGCUUUUUGAAUGUUGUUAUUUUUCAGUAUUUGGAGGUUAUUUAAUAAAAAUGUAAUCAUUUGCUUUUUGAAUGCUCUCUAAAAAGGGAAUACUCCUUUUGUAAUUCUUUAAAUUGAUCUCAAAGUAUUUUAAAAUGAUUUGUAACCCAGCUGGAUGUGAAAUUUUUGGUGCCUAAGAAAUACUGCUUGAAUAUUAUCAGUGAUAGUGUUAAGUUUCAAAAAGAGCUUCUGAAAGAUAAAUUAUUAAUCAUUUAUAGAGUAUUAUCUGGUUAAAAUCAGAAGGCGUACCACACAUUAAUCUUAAUUUUUAGCCCCAACAACCUUGGCUCCCAAAAAAUCGAGCUCAAUGAAUAAAGACAAGUGCACUUUGUUGUUAAAAGGAAAUGGACUGACAUUCAUGAAACUAUAGGAAGCUGUACAUUAAAUGGAAAAAGAAGCCGUGACCUUUUAGAAAAUGUAGGAAAGAAGAAAUUUACCUUAAUUGUGUGUGAGUGUAAUUAUGGACUUAAGUGAAGAAAGCUAUGGUGCUAUCUGAAAGGAGCUUCAUUUUCUAUAUAUUUGGUAUGUUGCCAUCCCAAACUAUAAGUGUAUAGUAACUUUAGUGACAGGUGACAUGCAUAGAUGAGUCACAACAAAUCCUGAAAAGUAUUUUUAAUUACUGGUGGGAAAAGGGACCCUCUCUGUGUUUUUAGGUCUUGCUAUAGGAUACAAGACAAGUGUUUUGGGGAUAUAUAUUUAUACCCAAUUGUCUAAAACUAUGUGAGGGGAACCUAAAAGUGCACCUGCCUUCUCCUGGGGGAAAAAAAAAUAACACAGCAAAAGGAAAACAUAUGAUUAGUGUCUAUGAAGAACUUUGUAUUUAGCAUAGGAUGAGCUCUGGAUACAUAUAUAAAGGAAAGCCAGGCUCACUUCAGAAUUGAGGAAUGGGAGAAUGAGCAACUCCAAUUUUACAUAUCCACCAAUACAACCAGUUAUCAUUAAGUCUUAUCGUUUUAGUUCUCUGUUAAAUAUCCUAAAACUACAUCACCAUGGAAUGGACAUCAUUAUUAUACUUUGAUCUGUCAAAAGUUAAGAACUGUGACAGACAGCCCUCAGUAAGAUUUUGAUCUUGCUAGAUCACUGAAAGGACUGCAGCUGUAUAUGAAUGUGUUUUUCUGUGCCUGGUUUGAGAAUUAGAAGAGAAACUAAGAGUGGAAGGAGGACAUGUUAACCACUUGGAAUGGAAGUUUAUCGUUUUCCAGACUAUGGUCAGUCAGCCUGGUCCACCAAGGAUUAGUGACCCGGUUUUUGGGAAAGGAUUAGCUUCUCUCUAGCAAAUGCCUGAAAGAAGGAUUUUAUUUUCUGACGAAAGGCUGUAUGAAAAUACCCUCCUCAAAUAACUUGCUUAACUACAUAUAGAUUCAAGUGUGUCAAUAUUCUAUUUUGUAUAUUAAAUGCUAUAUAAUGGGGACAAAUCUAUAUUAUACUGUGUAUGGCAUUAUUAAGAAGCUUUUUCAUUAUUUUUUAUCACAGUAAUUUUAAAAUGUGUAAAAAUUAAAACCAGUGACUCCUGUUUAAAAAAUAAAAGUUGUAGUUUUUUAUUCAUGCUGAAUAAUAAUAUGUAGUUUAAAAAAAAGUGUCUUUUUACCUACGCAGUGAAAUGUCAGACUGUAAAAUCUUGUGUGGAAAUGUUUAACUUUUAUUUUUCAUUUAAAUUUGCUGUUCUGGUAUUACCAAACCACACAUUUGUACUGAAUUGGCAGUAAAUGUUAGUUAGCCAUUUACAGCAAUGCCAAAUAUGGAGAAACAUCAUAAUAAAAAAAAAAUCUGCUUUUUC